CCUACGUGAGACAGCAGUGGGGAAUAUUGCACAAUGGGGGAAACCCUGAUGCAGCAACGCCGCGUGAGUGAAGAAGUAUUUCGGUAUGUAAAGCUCUAUCAGCAGGGAAGAAGAUGACGGUACCUGAGUAAGAAGCCCCGGCUAACUACGUGCCAGCAGCCGCGGUAAUACGUAGGGGGCAAGCGUUAUCCGGAUUUACUGGGUGUAAAGGGUGCGUAGAUGGCAUAGUAAGUCUUUUGUAAAAAUGCUGGGCUCAACCCAGUAGGGCAAAAGAUACUGCAAAGCUAGAGUAUGACAGAGGCAAGUGGAACUACAUGUGUAGCGGUAAAAUGCGUAAAUAUAUGUAAGAACACCAGUGGCGAAGGCGGCUUGCUGGGUCGAUACUGACAUUGAGGCACGAAAGCGUGGGGAGCAAACAGGAUUAGAUACCCCUGUAGUC
rnacentral:rRNA from 1 species